CAGAGUUUUCAACUCCCUAACCCAAAUGUGAACUUACCAAACGUUGCUUCGGCGGACUCGCCCCGGCGUCCGGGUGGCCUUGCGCCGCCCGCGGCCCGGAUCUAGGCGGCCGCCGGAGACCCCAAACUCUUUUGUAUUAUAAGUAUCUUCUGAAUCCGCCGCAAGGCAAAACAAAUGAAUCA
rnacentral:misc_RNA from 1 species